UGGUUUUUGGUUUAUGGUUAAGUAUUUGGCUGCUAACCGAAUGGUUGGUGGUUUGAACCCACCAAUGGCUC
rnacentral:tRNA from 1 species